AUUGAACGCUGGCGGCAUGCUUUACACAUGCAAGUCGAACGGUAACAGGCCUUCGGGUGCUGACGAGUGGCGAACGGGUGAGUAAUGCAUCGGAACGUACCCAGAGGUGGGGGAUAACGCAGCGACAGCUGUGCUAAUACCGCAUGUGAUCUGAGCAUGAAAGCGGGGGACCGAGCAGCAAUGUUUGGCCUCGCGCCUUUGUAUCGGCCGAUGUCGGAUUAGCUAGUUGGUGGGGUAAAGGCCUACCAAGGCGACGAUCCGUAGCUGGUCUGAGAGGACGACCAGCCACACUGGGACUGAGACACGGCCCAGACUCCUACGGGAGGCAGCAGUGGGGAAUUUUGGACAAUGCGCGCAAGCCUGAUCCAGCAAUGCCGCGUGCGGGAAGAAGGCCUUCGGGUUGUAAACCGCUUUUGGCAGGAACGAAACGGUGUCCGCUAAUACCGGGCGCUAAUGACGGUACCUGCAGAAUAAGCACCGGCUAACUACGUG
rnacentral:rRNA from 1 species